rnacentral:rRNA from 1 species
GAUGAACGCUGGCGGCGUGCCUAAUACAUGCAAGUCGAACGCGCAGCGAGAGGUGCUUGCACCUUUCAAGCGAGUGGCGAACGGGUGAGUAACACGUGGAUAACCUGCCUCAAGGCUGGGGAUAACAUUUGGAAACAGAUGCUAAUACCGAAUAAAACUUAGUAUCGCAUGAUAUCAAGUUAAAAGGCGCUACGGCGUCACCUAGAGAUGGAUCCGCGGUGCAUUAGUUAGUUGGUGGGGUAAAGGCUUACCAAGACGAUGAUGCAUAGCCGAGUUGAGAGACUGAUCGGCCACAUUGGGACUGAGACACGGCCCAAACUCCUACGGGAGGCUGCAGUAGGGAAUCUUCCACAAUGGGCGCAAGCCUGAUGGAGCAACGCCGCGUGUGUGAUGAAGGCUUUCGGGUCGUAAAGCACUGUUGUAUGGGAAGAAAUGCUAAAAUAGGGAAUGAUUUUAGUUUGACGGUACCAUACCAGAAAGGGACGGCUAAAUACGUGCCAGCAGCCGCGGUAAUACGUAUGUCCCGAGCGUUAUCCGGAUUUAUUGGGCGUAAAGCGAGCGCAGACGGUUGAUUAAGUCUGAUGUGAAAGCCCGGAGCUCAACUCCGGAAUGGCAUUGGAAACUGGUUAACUUGAGUGUUGUAGAGGUAAGUGGAACUCCAUGUGUAGCGGUGGAAUGCGUAGAUAUAUGGAAGAACACCAGUGGCGAAGGCGGCUUACUGGACAACAACUGACGUUGAGGCUCGAAAGUGUGGGUAGCAAACAGGAUUAGAUACCCUGGUAGUCCACACCGUAAACGAUGAAUACUAGGUGUUAGGAGGUUUCCGCCUCUUAGUGCCGAAGCUAACGCAUUAAGUAUUCCGCCUGGGGAGUACGACCGCAAGGUUG